rnacentral:lncRNA from 1 species
UACAGAAACAGAAUGGUAAAACAAAAACCAAAAAAUCACAAAAAGUUGAGAGUAAAUUUUAUCUUUAUUAUCUAACAGGGUAGAACAUAAUUAUUGUGACCCUACUUUGAAAAUAACAGAACACAGGAGUUUAAAUGAGAGUUUUCAGAAAGGAGAAGUGGAGACUUAAAUUAUGAAUAAUUUUUGUAGCAAGCCAUAAAAGAGGAAAUAUAAAUGGCAAAUAAACCUUUGUUUCUUCAUAGAAUUAUGAAGCAAAAUGGACUAUAUCCUUGGGUAUCUUAAGAAACUCUCCAGUUUGGCAGAGGAAGAAUUGUGCUUCUUUAAAGGAGGAGACAAAAAUCGCAGGUGAAAGGCACCUUCUCUGUAUCAGGAGGAAAAAAGACAUCACCAGAGAUGGGAAGUUAAGGCUGAGAGAAAUCUGUACCAGUGAGCUUGUUAAACUAACCCUCAUCUUCCUCGUCACAUUUCCAGAAAUCACUGCACUGGCUCAAACCCCUUGGCCUUGUCACGUCUUCACAGUUUACCAUCCUUUGUCCAACCCAAGCCAUAAGCUCUAAUUGCUUCUCCUGGGAAGCUGCCCAUGUAUAU